rnacentral:tRNA from 1 species
GGUGCGGUAGCGCAGAGGUCGUCGCGCCUUCUCGGCAAGAGGGAGGACGCCGGUUCGAAUCCGGUCCGCCCCGC